GACGAACGCUGGCGGCGUGCCUAAUACAUGCAAGUAGAACGCACAGUUUAUACUGUAGCUUUCUACACCAUAGACUGUGAGUUGCGACCGGGUGAUUAACGCGUAGGUAACCUGCCUGGUAGCGGGGGAUAACUAUUGGAAACGGUAGCUAAUACCGCAUAGUAUUAAUUAUUGCAUGAUAAUUAAUUGGAAGGUGCAAUUGCACCACUAUCUGAUGGACCUGCGUGGUAUUAGCUAGUAGGUGAGGUAACGGCUCACCUAGGCGACGAUACAUAGCCGACCUGAGAGGGUGAUCGGCCACCCUGGGACUGGGACACGGCCCAGAGUACUACGGGAGGCAGCAGAAGGGAAUCUGAGGCAAUGGACGAGAGUAUGACCGAACGACGCCGCGUGAGUGGAGGAGGUUUUCGGAUCGUGAAGCUCUGUUGUAAGAGAAGAACCGGUUUGGGAGUUGAAAGUUCACUGUGUGACGGUAGUUUAUAAGAAAGGGCCGGCUAACUACGUG
rnacentral:rRNA from 1 species